UACACUCCUGCGGGAGGCAGCAGUGGGGAAUAUUGCACAAUGGGCGCAAGCCUGAUGCAGCCAUGCCGCGUGUAUGAAGAAGGCCUUCGGGUUGUAAAGUACUUUCAGCGGGGAGGAAGGCGAUAAGGUUAAUAACCUUGUCGAUUGACGUUACCCGCAGAAGAAGCACCGGCUAACUCCGUGCCAGCAGCCGCGGUAAUACGGAGGGUGCAAGCGUUAAUCGGAAUUACUGGGCGUAAAGCGCACGCAGGCGGUCUGUCAAGUCGGAUGUGAAAUCCCCGGGCUCAACCUGGGAACUGCAUUCGAAACUGGCAGGCUAGAGUCUUGUAGAGGGGGGUAGAAUUCCAGGUGUAGCGGUGGAAUGCGUAGAGAUCUGGAGGAAUACCGGUGGCGAAGGCGGCCCCCUGGACAAAGACUGACGCUCAGGUGCGAAAGCGUGGGGAGCAAACAGGAUUAGAUACCCCUGUAGUCCCAUGA
rnacentral:rRNA from 1 species